AGAAUCAACGCUGGCGGCGUGCCUAACACAUGCAAGUCGAACGAGAAAGUGGAGCAAUCCAUGAGUAAAGUGGCGACCGGGUGAGUAACACGUGACUAACCUACCUUCGAGUGGGGGAUAACCUCGGGAAACCGAGGCUAAUACCGCAUAACAUCGCAAGAUCAAAGCAGCAAUGCGCUGGAAGAGGGGGUCGCGGCUGAUUAGCUAGUUGGCGGGGUAAUGGCCCACCAAGGCGAAGAUCGGUAGCCGGCCUGAGAGGGCGCACGGCCACACUGGAACUGAAACACGGUCCAGACUCCUACGGGAGGCAGCAGUGGGGAAUUUUGCGCAAUGGGGGAAACCCUGACGCAGCAACGCCGCGUGGAGGAUGAAGCCCCCUUGGGGUGUAAACUCCUUUCGACCAAGACGAUAAUGACGGUACUGGUGGAAGAAGCACCGGCUAACUCUGUGCCAGCAGCCGC
rnacentral:rRNA from 1 species